AUGGCCCUGAACAGCCCACUACCAGGUGGUUACAGACGUCGCUGUCGAUCAGUUACGCUUUUCAUCUAUAAAAAGGGACCUCCAGAUACAUUCUUCUCUAAGCUCAAAACUCUAUCUCAAAAUUCUGCUAAAAUUCUAUUUGAGUGCUCCAUUUUUGAGGCAGAGUACUAACUUGAGCAUUGGAGGGUCUUAUCGGAGCACCCGCAACUUCGGUUUAGACUUUUCUUGCAGGUUCCGAUGGCGGACGCGAUCCCCUCGAC
rnacentral:lncRNA from 1 species